ensembl:rRNA 5S_rRNA 5S ribosomal RNA
GUCUAUGGCCAUACCUCCCAGAACAUGCCGAUCUUGUGAAGCUAAGCAGGGUCGGGCCUGGCUGGUAGUUGGAUGGGAAACCACCUGGAAUUACUGGGUACUAUAGGCU